GAUGAACGCUGGCGGCGUGCCUAAUACAUGCAAGUCGAGCGAACAGACGAGGAGCUUGCUCCUCUGACGUUAGCGGCGGACGGGUGAGUAACACGUGGAUACCCUACCUAUAAGACUGGGAUAACUUCGGGAAACCGGAGCUAAUCCCGGAUAAUAUAUUGAACCGUAGGGUUCAAUAGUGAAAGACGGUUUUGCUGUCACUUAUAGAUGGAUACGCGCCGCAUUAGCUAGUUGGUAAGGUAACGGCGUACCAAGGCGACGAUGCGUAGCCGACCUGAGAGGGUGAUCGGCCACACUGGAACUUAGACACGGUCCAGACUCCUACGGGAGGCAGCAGUCGGGAAUCUUCCGCAAUGGGCGAAGGCCUGACGGAGCAACGCCGCGUGAGUGAUGAAGGUCUUCGGAUCGUAAAACUCUGUUAUUAGGGAAGAACAACUGUGUAAGUAACCAUGCACGUCUUGACGGUACCUAAUCAGAAAGCCACGGCUAACUACGUG
rnacentral:rRNA from 1 species